rnacentral:rRNA from 1 species
UACGUAGGGCGCAAGCGUUGUUCGGAAUUACUGGGCGUAAAGGGCUCGUAGGCGGCCAACUAAGUCAGACGUGAAAUCCCUAGGCUCAACCUAGGAACUGCGUCUGAUACUGGAUGGCUUGAAUCCGGGAGAGGGAUGCAGAAUUCCAGGUGUAGCGGUGAAAUGCGUAGAUAUCUGGAGGAAUACCGGUGGCGAAGGCGGCAUCCUGGACCGGCAUUGACGCUGAGGAGCGAAAGCCAGGGGAGCAAACGGG